GAUGAACGCUGGCGGCGUGCCUAACACAUGCAAGUCGAGCGAUUUACUUCGGUAAAGAGCGGCGGACGGGUGAGUAACGCGUGGGUAACCUGCCCUGUACACACGGAUAACAUACCGAAAGGUAUGCUAAUACGAGAUAAUAUGCUUUUAUCGCAUGGUAGAAGUAUCAAAGCUCCGGCGGUACAGGAUGGACCCGCGUCUGAUUAGCCAGUUGGUAAGGUAACGGCUUACCAAGGCGACGAUCAGUAGCCGACCUGAGAGGGUGAUCGGCCACAUUGGAACUGAGACACGGUCCAAACUCCUACGGGAGGCAGCAGUGGGGAAUACUGCACAAUGGGCGAAAGCCUGAUGCAGCAACGCCGCGUGAGCGAUGAAGGCCUUCGGGUCGUAAAGCUCUGUCCUCAAGGAAGAUAACGACGGUACUUGAGGAGGAAGCCCCGGCUAACUACGUGCCAGCCGCCGCGGUAA
rnacentral:rRNA from 1 species